GACGAACGCUGGCGGCGUGCUUAACACAUGCAAGUCGAACGGAAAGGCCCUGCUUUUGUGGGGUGCUCGAGUGGCGAACGGGUGAGUAACACGUGAGUAACCUGCCCUUGACUUUGGGAUAACUUCAGGAAACUGGGGCUAAUACCGGAUAGGAGCUCCUGCUGCAUGGUGGGGGUUGGAAAGUUUCGGCGGUUGGGGAUGGACUCGCGGCUUAUCAGCUUGUUGGUGGGGUAGUGGCUUACCAAGGCUUUGACGGGUAGCCGGCCUGAGAGGGUGACCGGCCACAUUGGGACUGAGAUACGGCCCAGACUCCUACGGGAGGCAGCAGUGGGCAAUAUUGCACAAUGGGCGGAAGCCUGAUGCAGCAACGCCGCGUGCUGGAUGACGGCCUUCGGGUUGUAAACCGCUUUCGCCUGUGACGAAGCGUGAGUGACGGUAAUGGGUAAAGAAGCACCGGCUAACUACGUG
rnacentral:rRNA from 1 species